rnacentral:rRNA from 1 species
GACGAACGCUGGCGGCGUGCUUAACACAUGCAAGUCGAACGGAAAGGCCCUGCUUUUGUGGGGUGCUCGAGUGGCGAACGGGUGAGUAACACGUGAGUAACCUGCCCUUGACUUUGGGAUAACUUCAGGAAACUGGGGCUAAUACCGGAUAGGAGCUCCUGCUGCAUGGUGGGGGUUGGAAAGUUUCGGCGGUUGGGGAUGGACUCGCGGCUUAUCAGCUUGUUGGUGGGGUAGUGGCUUACCAAGGCUUUGACGGGUAGCCGGCCUGAGAGGGUGACCGGCAACAUUGGGAAUGAGAUACGGCCCAGACGCCUACGGGAGGCAGCAGUGGGGAAUAUUGCACAAGGGGCGGAAGCCUGAUGCAGCAACGCCGCGUGCGGGAUGACGGCCUUCGGGUUGUAAACCGCUUUCGCCGGUGACGAAGCGGGAGUGACGGUAAUGGGUAAAGAAGCACCGGCUAACUACGUG